GACGAACGCUGGCGGCGUGCCUAAUACAUGCAAGUUGAGCGCUGAAGGUUGGUACUUGUACCAACUGGAUGAGCAGCGAACGGGUGAGUAACGCGUGGGGAAUCUGCCUUUGAGCGGGGGACAACAUUUGGAAACGAAUGCUAAUACCGCAUAAAAACUUUAAACACAAGUUUUAAGUUUGAAAGAUGCAAUUGCAUCACUCAAAGAUGAUCCCGCGUUGUAUUAGCUAGUUGGUGAGGUAAAGGCUCACCAAGGCGAUGAUACAUAGCCGACCUGAGAGGGUGAUCGGCCACAUUGGGACUGAGACACGGCCCAAACUCCUACGGGAGGCAGCAGUAGGGAAUCUUCGGCAAUGGACGAAAGUCUGGCCGAGCAACGCCGCGUGAGUGAAGAAGGUUUUCGGAUCGUAAAACUCUGUUGGUAGAGAAGAACGUCGGUGAGAGUGGAAAGCUCAUCAAGUGACGGUAACUACCCAGAAAGGGACGGCUAACUACGUG
rnacentral:rRNA from 1 species